rnacentral:ncRNA from 1 species
GAGCAACUUAGGAUUUUAGGCUCCGCCGCUUGGCCGCAAGGCCGGCGGCGACAAACCGGCGCGGGGCUGGCGGUCCCGCGUGCGGUCAAAAUCUAUCCCGCCGGAG